rnacentral:lncRNA from 1 species
GUGGGAAGCCCUGUGUGGUUCUGGUUGCUGCUGACCUUGGACAGUGUCCACAGGGCCCUGGGACUCCUGGGAUCGGAGCUGCCCCCGCGUGGAGCACCCUGGGGACACAAGGACACUCUGCCCCACCCGGGAACCUCGCAGCCACCGCCAGGAGAAUGGGGAGAGCUGGGCCUGUGCACCUGACAGCGCAAGAGGCCCUGGCGCCUGGCACCCGUUUUCACUGCUGCUAAGCCUGAGAUGGAGUGGAUGGUGAGGCUGGCUCCUGCGGCGCUCUGAUGGCACAGCAGCUGCCUGGAGUGCACCGCCGACUUCCUGUGUCCCUGGCUUGCACAUGGCCCAUUGUGGGACUUGAUGUUAUCUCAGGUAUUUGCUGUAGUGAUGGGAAGCUCGCUAGCACACAGCCCCAUUUGCUGCCCCCUCGGAAGUCCAGCUGGACUCUGGAGCAUGAGCAGCAGCAGUGGAGGUGAGCAGCAAGGCCUGGGCUGCUCGUGCCAACUGGGGGCCGUGACCAUCGGGUGUGGGUUUUCUUGCGUGUUCCCCACGGCCACCUUGUUUCCUAGGUGCUGUUGUAGGGGUGGCCCUCGCCUCGCCUGGCAGCCCCCGGCGGAAGGGGACCAAUUGCAGUCGCACGGGAGAUUAGAAGUAGCCACAGAUUCUUUGCCACUGGGGCUGCUCUGUCAGGACACAUGGGUGGAGGUGAUGCUGACCCUGUUUCCAGCCCAGGCGCCACCUCCUGUCCCCUGGGCAUCCGCCAGGAGCCCAGUGGACCUGUGAGGUUCAGAGCCCUGUGGAUGUGGCAC